GCCGGUUUCCCUAGAUGAUCUUCACCGGUUGUCCUGGGUGACCGGCACGUUUACUUUGAAAAAAUUAGAGUGCUCAAAGCAGGCGCGUAGCCUGAAUAAUGUUGCAUGGAAUAAUGGAAUAGGACUUCGUUUCUAUUUUGUUGGUUUUCGGAACACGAGGUAAUGAUUAAGAGGGACAGACGGGGGCAUUCGUAUUGCGACGCUAGAGGUGAAAUUCUUGGACCGUCGCAAGACGAACUACUGCGAAAGCAUUUGCCAAGAAUGUUUUCAUUAAUCAAGAACGAAAGUUAGAGGUUCGAAGGCGAUCAGAUACCGCCCUAGUUCUAACCAUAAACGAUGCCAACCAGCGAUCCGCCUGAGUUCCUCAAAUGACUCGGCGGGCAGCUUCCGGGAAACCAAAGUGUUUGGGUUCCGGGGGAAGUAUGGUUGCAAAGCUGAAACUUAAAGGAAUUGACGGAAGGGCACCACCAGGAGUGGAGCCUGCGGCUUAAUUUGACUCAACACGGGCGAACCUACCCGGCCCGGACACUGGAAGGAUUGACAGAUUAAGAGCUCUUUCUUGAUUCAGUGGGUGGUGGUGCAUGGCCGUUCCUAGUUGGUGGAGCGAUUUGUCAGGUUGAUUCCGAUAACGAACGAGACUCUAGCCUACUAAAUAGGCGCCCCGAUCACUUUUGUCGGGCGUUCUUCUUAGAGGGACAAGUGGCGUUUAGCCGCACGAGACAGAGCAAUAACAGGUCUGUGAUGCCCUUAGAUGUCCGGGGCCGCACGCGCGCUACACUGAAGGAAUCAGCGUGUGAUUUCCCUGUCCGGUAGGACUGGGUAACCCGUUCAACCUCCUUCGUGAUAGGGAUAGGGGCUUGUAAUUGUUCCCCUUGAACGAGGAAUUCCCAGUAAGCACGAGUCAUUAGCUCGUGUUGAUUACGUCCCUGCCCUUUGUCCACACCGCCCGUCGCUACUACCGAUUGAAUGAUUUAGUGAGGUCUUCGGACUGGCGCUCGGAGCGGCCGCAAGGUCGCGCCGG
rnacentral:rRNA from 1 species